ACCAGGUGUGGUGGUGCACACCUGUAAUCCCAGCUACUUGGGAGGCUGAGGUAGGAUGAUUCCAAGUUCAAGGCCAGCCUCAG
rnacentral:sRNA from 1 species